rnacentral:rRNA from 2 species
UGCAUGUCUAAGUAUAAACACUUUUAUACUCGUGAAACUGCGAAUGGCUCAUUAAAACAGUUAUAGUUCCUUUGGGAACAACACUACUUGGAUAACCGUAGUAAUUCUAGAGCUAAUACAUGCCUCAACGCCCGACUCACGAAGGGUGGUAUUUAUUGGAUAAAAAACCAUCGUGCUCUCCAGAGCGCUUUGAGAUGAUUCACAAUAACUUGUCGGAUCGCAUGGCCUCGUGCUGGCGACUCCUCAUUCAAAUUUCUGCCCUAUCAACUUUCGAUGGUAGAGUAUUGGUCUACCAUGGUGUCGACGGGUGACGGGGAAUUAGGGUUCGAUUCCGGAGAGGGAGCCUGAGAAACGGCUACCACAUCCAAGGAAGGCAGCAGGCGCGCAAAUUACCCAAUCCGG